rnacentral:rRNA from 1 species
UACAGAGGUCUCAAGCGUUGUUCGGAUUCAUUGGGCGUAAAGGGUGCGUAGGCGGCGCGGUAAGUCGGGUGUGAAAUCUUGGAGCUUAACUCCGAAACUGCAUUCGAUACUGCCGUGCUUGAGGACUGGAGAGGAGACUGGAAUUUACGGUGUAGCGGUGAAAUGCGUAGAUAUCGUAAGGAAGACCAGGGGCGAAGGCGGGGCUCUGGACAGUUCCUGACGCUGAGGCACGAAGGCCAGGGGAGCAAACGGG